AGCAGUCUCGUGAUGAUUUAUUUAUUGCGUAGUUCAGAUGAUUAUCCCUGAUUACGAUGCAAGUCUUUCGCUCGUAUCUGAUGACUCAG